rnacentral:rRNA from 1 species
UGAGGAAUAUUGGUCAAUGGGCGGGAGCCUGAACCAGCCAAGCCGCGUGAGGGAGGAAGGCCCUAUGGGUCGUAAACCUCUUUUGUCAGGGAACAAAAGCGAGUAUGUAUACUAGUCUGAGUGUACCUGAAGAAAAAGCAUCGGCUAACUCCGUGCCAGCAGCCGCGGUAAUACGGAGGAUGCGAGCGUUAUCCGGAUUUAUUGGGUUUAAAGGGUGCGUAGGCGGCGGUGCAAGUCAGCGGGUAAAAGCCCGGGGCUCAACCCCGGCGAGCCGUUGAAACUGCAGUGCUAGAGAAGGCGAGAGGUACGCGGAAUGCGCAGUGUAGCGGUGAAAUGCUUAGAUAUUGCGCAGAACUCCGAUUGCGAAGGCAGCGUACUGGCGCCUGACUGACGCUGAGGCACGAAAGCGUGGGGAUCGAACAGGAUUAGAUACCC